GCUAGUGUUGGAGGGUUUCCGCCCUUCAGUGCCGGAGCUAACGCAUUAAGCACUCCGCCUGGGGAGUACGACCGCAAGGUUGAAACUCAAAGGAAUUGACGGGGGCCCGCACAAGCGGUGGAGCAUGUGGUUUAAUUCGAAGCUACGCGAAGAACCUUACCAGGUCUUGACAUCUUGCGCCAACCCUAGAGAUAGGGCGUUUCCUUCGGGAACGCAAUGACAGGUGGUGCAUGGUCGUCGUCAGCUCGUGUCGUGAGAUGUUGGGUUAAGUCCCGCAACGAGCGCAACCCUUGUUACUAGUUGCCAGCAUUAAGUUGGGCACUCUAGUGAGACUGCCGGUGACAAACCGGAGGAAGGUGGGGACGACGUCAGAUCAUCAUGCCCCUUAUGACCUGGGCUACACACGUGCUACAAUGGACGGUACAACGAGUCGCGAACUCGCGAGGGCAAGCAAAUCUCUUAAAACCGUUCUCAGUUCGGACUGCAGGCUGCAACUCGCCUGCACGAAGUCGGAAUCGCUAGUAAUCGCGGAUCAGCAUGCCGCGGUGAAUACGUUCCCGGGCCUUGUACACACCGCCCGUCACACCAUGAGAGUUUGUAACACCCAAAGUCGGUGGGGUAACCUUUUAGGAGCCAGCCGCCUAAGGUGGGACAGAUGAUUAGGGUGAAGUCGUACAAAGGGGGAA
rnacentral:rRNA from 1 species